CUUCAGUCCAAGAGUUCAAGACCAACCUGGCCAACAUGAUCUAAAGCUUAAGGAUUAUGGAGUGGAUCUCACUGAAGUUUCAGACAAUGGAUGUGGGGUAGAAGAAGAAAACUUCGAAGGCUUAACAAUGUCACCAUUUCUACCUGCCAUGCAUCGACAAAGGUUGGGACUCAACUGGUGUUUGAUCACAAUGGGAAAAUCAUCCAGAAAACCCCCUACCCCUGCCCCAGAGGGACCACAGUCAGCGUGAAGCAGUUAUUUUCUACGGUACCUGUGCGCCAUAAGGAAUAUCAAAGGAAUGUUAAGAAGUACAGAACCUGCUAAGGCCAUCGAACCUAUUGGUCGGAAGUCAGUCCAUGAGAUUUGCUCUGGGCCGGUGGUACUGAGUCUAAGCACUGCGGUGAAAGAGUUAGUAGAAAACAGUCUGGAUGCUGGUGCCACUAAUAUUGAUCUAAAGCUUAAGGAUUAUGGAGUGGAUCUCACUGAAGUUUCAGACAAUGGAUGUGGGGUAGAAGAAGAAAACUUCGAAGGCUUAACUCUGAAACAUCACACAUCUAAGAUUCAAGAGUUUGCCGACCUAACUCAGGUUGAAACUUUCGGUUUUCAGGGGGAAGCUCUGAGCUCACUUUGUGCACUGAGCAAUGUCACCAUUUCUACCUGCCAUGCAUCGACAAAGGUUGGGACUCAACUGGUGUUUGAUCACAAUGGGAAAAUCAUCCAGAAAACCCCCUACCCCUGCCCCAGAGGGACCACAGUCAGCGUGAAGCAGUUAUUUUCUACGGUACCUGUGCGCCAUAAGGAAUAUCAAAGGAAUGUUAAGACGGAGUCUUCUCACUCUGUCUCCCAGGCUGGAGUGCAGUGGUGUGAUCUUGGCUCACUGCAACCUCUGCCUCCCGGGUUGUAAUACAAGCUGAAGUUGGAAGUGUUGGAGCCUGGAGGACCAACAGCUCACCAUCCAUUCAAAUGAAUAGGACCGAAAAGUGACAGAACAAUGGCCACGAGGGGCCCCAACAGAGGAAGAAACCAGUGAGUGAGCACUCAUGGGAUCUGGUUGUUUAAAAGC